AUUGAACGCUGGCGGCAGGCCUAACACAUGCAAGUCGAACGGUAACAGGAAGCAGCUUGCUGCUUUGCUGACGAGUGGCGGACGGGUGAGUAAUGUCUGGGAAACUGCCUGAUGGAGGGGGAUAACUACUGGAAACGGUAGCUAAUACCGCAUAACGUCGCAAGACCAAAGAGGGGGACCUUCGGGCCUCUUGCCUUCGGAUGUGCCCAGAUGGGAUUAGCUAGUAGGUGGGGUAACGGCUCACCUAGGCGACGAUCCCUAGCUGGUCUGAGAGGAUGACCAGCCACACUGGAACUGAGCCACGGUCCAGACUCCGACGGGAGGCAGCAGUGGGGAAUAUUGCACAAUGGGCGCAAGCCUGAUGCAGCCAUGCCGCGUGUAUGAAGAAGGCCUUCGGGUUGUAAAGUACUUUCAGCGGGGAGGAAGGGAGUAAAGUGAAUACCUUUGCUCAUUGACGGUACCCGCAGAAGAAGCACCGGCUAACUCCGUG
rnacentral:rRNA from 1 species